rnacentral:rRNA from 1 species
CAAAAACAUCGCCUCUUGAUAUUAUAUUACGAGAGGUUGGGCCUGCCCGGUGAAUAACUAUUUAAACGGCCGCAGUGAAUAACUGUGCUAAGGUAGCGUAAUAAAUUGUCUCUUAAUUGGAGAAGGGUAUGAAUGGUUUGACGUGGUGGUAUCUGUCUCAGUAAUAAUAAGGUGAAGUUUUCUUUUUAGUUAAAAGACUUGAAUGGCGUUAAAAGACGAGAAGACCCUGUCGAGCUUGAUAAAAAUAUAGAGUGUUUUUGUAUAAUAAGUUUAGCUGGGGCAGCUGAAAACCAUAAAAUAGUUUUCUUUUUUUUGAAGAUCCGGUUUAUACCGACCAUAAGAAAAAGCUACCGCAGGGAUAACAGCGUUAUCUUUCCUGAGAGAACUAAUUGAAGGGAAGGUUUGCGACCUCGAUGUUGGAUUAAAAUUUCUUUUUGGUGUAGCAGCUAAAAUAGUAGGACUGUUCGUCCUUUAAAAUUUUACGUGAUCU